GACGUAGGGGGCGAGCGUUGUCCGGAUUUAUUGGGCGUAAAGAGCGCGUAGGCGGCCCGUUAAGUCGGAUGUGAAAACCCGUGGCUCAACCACGGGCCUGCAUCCGAUACUGGCGGGCUCGAGGCAGGCAGGGGAGAUCGGAAUUCCUGGUGUAGCGGUGAAAUGCGCAGAUAUCAGGAGGAACACCGGUGGCGAAGGCGGGUCUCUGGGCCGAUACUGACACUGAGGAGCGAAAGCGUGGGGAGCGAACAGG
rnacentral:rRNA from 1 species